GCCCAUAGCUCAGUGGUAGAGCAUCUGCUUUUCAGCCAGAAGGUCCCAGCUUCAAUCCCCACCAUGUCCUGGUAGGGCU